ACACUGUGAUGAUUCCCUAGAUGACGAGUCUUAUUCGAGUUAUCGAUGCAGACAACAUUUCUUUUUUACCAUUCAUGCAUUUCUGACAA
rnacentral:snoRNA from 1 species